CUGGACAUUAUCUGUGAAAGCAACGUAAGAAGCCUCUGAAAGAUUGAAAGAAGAAGGUGAACUGGCUAGGGACCUCAGGACCCAGGAAACAGCAUGGUGAUGAGUUCCCUGUGUUCUCUUUUAGCCUCACAUAUCCCAGACUUGGAGCAGAAGAAGCGGGCAACCUAGAAACAACGAGUGCACACAAAAAAGAGUCCCAACAAAAGACUGCUAUCUCUAGCCAAAGGACCAGAAAGGGAGUAGUCUGCUUAUUUCUUUCUGGUGCUGAAUAAUAUUCCAUUACAGUAGUCCCCUGUUAUCGGUGGGAAAAAUCUUCCAAGACCUCCAGUGGAUACCUGAAACCACAGAUAGUACCAAACCUUGUAUAUACUUUCUUCUUUUCCCUUAAAAG
rnacentral:lncRNA from 1 species